rnacentral:rRNA from 1 species
UUACCAGAGUACUAUGAAUGCUUAAAAAUUUAAAACUCAAAGAACUUGGCGGUGUUUUAGACCACCCAGGGGAACCUGUCUCGUAAUCGAUAAUCCGCGUUACACCUGACCUCUUUUUGUUUUCAGUUUGUAUACCGUUGUCGUCAGGUAACUUUUUAGAAAUUAGAAGUUAGCAAUUAAAAUAUUGGUAAUUUAAUAUGUCAAAUCAAGGUGCAGCUAAUAAAGGGGGGAGGAUGGGUUACAAUUAUAUAAUUUAUAAUGACGGAUAGAUAUAUGGAUAUAUAUUAAGUUAUAAGGAGGACUUGGAAGUAAAUUAAAGUAUAGAAAUAAUUUGAAUUAGGCUCUGAGACGUGU